UGGGAGACUCCAGGAUUGGCUAUUGAGCAUAGGAACAACAGCAGCCAUGGUGGGUCUACCUGACACAUUCUCUUGAACACACAAUAAACCUAUGUGUAAGCAUCUCAUUACAUCACUUACUGGACUGCCCCUCAAUGUUUCGUCAAUCAGGUAUCCUUAACGGUUCCUGUCUACUCCAAGCAUAAAGAAGCAAACAUAAAGCUUGACUAAGAUACGAGCACACUUACAUGGAUUAGAAGGAGCUCUAGUUCCUCCGAAUUGUUCAGCCAGCUGUUUUUCUUACCAGUUACUAUCUCUAGAACCAACACUCCAAAACUGAAGACGUCAGAUUUCACUGAGAAUCGAUUGUGCAAGGCAUAUUCUGGAGCCAUGUAGCCGCUAAACAACAUCAACGACAGGAGCACAAUCUCAAUUCAAAUGCUAACAGAGCUCUUUCGAAACUGAGUUAUUCCAUCUCAGGUUUUAUGCGACAUAAAAGAGUUUUUUUUUUUCUAGUAGUUCUAUGGAAUUUCUAAAGAGUAUAAUCAUUGAGUUGAUUUAAAUACUCACUAGGUCCCCGCAACUCUGCCGGUAAUGCGUUGGGUUUGAUCUGGUUGAAACAGCCUUGCCAAGCCAAAAUCUGAAACUUUAGGAUUCAUCUCUUCAUCUAACAAGACAUUGCUAGCUUUCAGGUCACGAUGAAUGAUCCUAAGACGAGAAUCUUCAUGAAGAUAAAGAAUUCCUCUAGCAAUGCCGCUGAUGAUUCUGCACCUUGUUUCCCAAUUCAGUUGGGUGCUCUUGAUUGGAUCUACAAUUUCAUUCAAUAUAUUUACCAAAUCCUACUUGUGGAUUAAAAGAGAGCUACUUUAGAUAUGCUAAACAAUUCCUUUAGUAAAAGGUAAAGCAGUAGUACCAAAUAUGAAUUUAUCAAGGCUGCCAUUCCCCAAAAACUCAUAAACAAGGAUUCGUUCCUCUCCUUCGGAGCAAAAACCUACAAGGCUAACAAGAUUUCUGUGUUGGAGCUUAGCCAAUAACAGAAUCUCAUUCUUGAAUUCUAUUUCACCUUGUGAAGAAUAGCCGGAUAGCCUUUUGACAGCAAUUUCUUGUCCGUUUGGAAGCACUCCCUGAAGAUUAACAGAGUAAAUAAAGACAAGUGUUUCAUUU